rnacentral:rRNA from 1 species
CACGCUGGCGGCGUGCCUAACACAUGCAAGUCGAACGCGAAAGUCCCGCAAGGGAUCAGUAGAGUGGCAAACGGGUGAGUAACACGUGGGUGACCUACCUUCGAGUGGGGGAUAACCUUCCGAAAGGAGGGCUAAUACCGCAUGACAUCCCAUGUUUGGAUACAUGGACAUCAAAGCCGGGGAUCGCAAGACCUGGCGCUUGAAGAGGGACCUGCGCCCGAUUAGCUAGUUGGUGAGGUAACGGCUCACCAAGGCUUCGAUCGGUAUCCGGCCUGAGAGGGCGGACGGACACACUGGAACUGAGACACGGUCCAGACUCCUACGGGAGGCAGCAGUGGGGAAUUGUUCGCAAUGGGCGCAAGCCUGACGACGCAACGCCGCGUGGAGGAUGAAGACUUUCGGGUCGUAAACUCCUUUCGACCGAGAUGAAAAGCCUGCGAUCUAAUAGGUCGCAGGUCUGACAGUAUCGAGGGAAGAAGCCCCGGCUAACUCCGUACCAGCAGCCGCGGUAAUACGGGGGGGGCAAGCGUUGUUCGGAAUUACUGGGCGUAAAGGGUCUGUAGGUGGCUUGCUAAGUCAGACGUGAAAUCCCUCAGCUUAACUGGGGAACUGCGUCUGAGACUGGC